GAGAUUGCGUGGGUGUUAGACAGCUUAG
rnacentral:piRNA from 1 species